CACACGAGUUUGAUCCUGGCUCAAGAUUGAACGCUGGCGGCAUGCCUUACACAUGCAAGUCGAACGGUAGAGUAGCAAUACUCGAGAGUGGCGAACGGGUGAGUAAUAUAUCGGAACGUGCCCAGUCGUGGGGGAUAACGUAGAGAAAUUUACGCUAAUACCGCAUACGAUCUAAGGAUGAAAGCGGGGGGAUUCGCAAGAACCUCGCGCGAUUGGAGCGGCUGAUAUCAGAUUAGGUUGUUGGUGAGGUAAAAGCUCACCAAGCCGACGAUCUGUAGCUGGUUUGAGAGAACGACCAGCCACACUGGGACUGAGACACGGCCCAGACUCCUACGGGAGGCAGCAGUGGGGAAUUUUGGACAAUGGGCGAAAGUCUGAUCCAGCAAUGCCGCGUGCAGGAAGAAGGCCUUCGGGUUGUAAACUGCUUUUGUACGGAACGAAAAGGCUCUUUCUAAUAAAGAGGGCCCAUGACGGUACCGUAAGAAUAAGCACCGGCUAACUACGUG
rnacentral:rRNA from 1 species